UUGGCGGACGGGUGAGUAACGCGUGGAAAACCUGCCGUAUACUGGGGGAUAACACUUAGAAAUAGGUGCUAAUACCGCAUAAGCGCACAGCUUCGCAUGAAGCGGUGUGAAAAACUCUGGUGGUAUACGAUGGUUCCGCGUCUGAUUAGCUAGUUGGUGGGGUAAUGGCCUACCAAGGCAACGAUCAGUAGCCGGCCUGAGAGGGUGAACGGCCACAUUGGGACUGAGACACGGACCAAACUCCUACGGGAGGCAGCAG
rnacentral:rRNA from 1 species